UACAGAGGGGGCAAGCGUUGUUCGGAGUUACUGGGCGUAAAGGGCGCGCAGGCGGCCUACUAAGUCGGACGUGAAAUCCCCGGGCUCAACCCGGGAACUGCGUCUGAUACUGGGAGGCUUGAAUCCGGGAGAGGGAUGUGGAAUUCCAGGUGUAGCGGUGAAAUGCGUAGAUAUCUGGAGGAACACCGGUGGCGAAGGCGGCAUCCUGGACCGGCAUUGACGCUGAGGCGCGAAAGCCAGGGGAGCAAACGGG
rnacentral:rRNA from 1 species